CAGGUUACCAAGGUGCCCAUCAGCGACGAGUGCCUCACUGUGGCCUCAACCAUGCAGGACCUACUCCACCGUGGCACGCAAUGGGGGAGAAUGAAUGCGUAGGUGUGUAAGCGAGAGGAACAGGCGUGACUCAGCUGGGGAAGCCGGGGCCCAGCCCAGCAAGUAGCUGGAGCUUCCGUUCUGUUCUUCCUUCACUCAC